rnacentral:lncRNA from 1 species
GUGCCGGGUGCACCUCGCGAGCUAGCUGCCGCCCCGCCUGUGUCGCGGUCGUACCCUCCGCCCUCUGCGCCGAGAGCCGCUGCCGCCCGAGACCUUCGAGGGCUCCUCGCCCCUGCUUCCUGGGAGACCCUCUCCGCUGGGAGAGUCGCAGUCACGGAGCCGGGGGACACCUGUACGGGCAGGCGGCCGGCGAAGGCCCGGCCCGAGAGGAAGCGGGCCCCGAACGCCGCAACUGCCUGGGAAGCGGCUUUGCGUCCGGGCGUGGUGGAGCACAUCUGAGGGCCCAGCUACUCGGGAGCUGAGGCAGGAGGAUCCCUUAAGCCUGGGAAGUCAAGGCUGCAGUGAGCCGAGAUGGGUGCCACUUCACUCCAGCCUAGGCGACAGAGUGAGACUUGCAGAAGGAAAGAGAGAAAAGAAAUACAGUAACAGUUAAUAAAAUUCUUAACACACAUGUAAUAAUGUAUUUUACUCACACAUUAAAUAACAAGACUAAAGUUGCAAGUCUAAUAUUCACCAUGAUUUUGAAAUACCAGUGAGUAUAAAUGAUAUUUAGAGAUUUCUGCAACAGCUGAAAUGUGAUAUGAAUAUAUCUGGGUUUCUCUUGGUGACAAAGUCACAGGGACAGCUAACACCUACUACUGUGGGAAUUUUAAUAUCAGAGGUGGGUGAAAAUGAGAUCGCAUACAUUCCUUCAACCCAAAUUCAGAAGCCCCCUGGCUUCUAUCCUCUGACCUCCCUUCCCCUCCCCUCUCUCUGUGGAUCCCAGGUUAAGAACCCCCACCCAUGUGACGGGGUGUGAAGAGCUCAGUGGGAGGGGCAGAGAGGAAGAGCCUCCCUGACCCCGGUGUUUGCCUAAAGAGAAGCACAGAGCCAGUUUUCAUACUCUGGGCCUUUGCACAUGCUGUUCCCUCUGCUGGGCCUUCCCAUCCCCCUGCCCCCUCUGCCACCCCAACCUCCUGUCUCCUUGAAAAUACCCUACCCCAUGCCACCCCCAGCAUGGGGUUUCCUCUCUUCUCUUGCUGUCUAGUAUCUUCCCAGCUCCACACAGAGCCUGUGUGUUGAUCUCAGGGGUUUGUGUUCAGGCCUGGCCUCCUGCUGGGCUGAGCUAGGCAAGGCCUGGGCUGGGGCUGCUCCAUCCCUAGGGCCCAUUUCAAUACUGGUGCUCAACGCAUGUUUAUUGGAUGGAUGGAUGGAUGGAUGGAUGGAUGGAUGGAUGGAUGGAUGGAAAAGGUCAUGCCCACCAUGUUUUCUAAGCAUCUUGCAGUCAGCAGCCGCCUGACUCAUCUUUGGGCACCCUCCCCUGGCAACAGCAAAGGCUGUGUCACCAGCCCUUCCGACCAGGCUCCUGAGGGGGGUCUUGCAUACCUUCUCACAGGUCGUGUCCUAAGAUCCCAUUUCACCAGUGGGGAACCUGGCCCUGGGAAAGGUCAAGGCUGGCUCCCUUGGUCUGGGAGCUGGCAAGUGGUGCAUGAGGGAUUCCAUCCAGCCUGCCCUGGCCACACUGCUAUCCGGUACAUCAGCUCAAAGGGCCUCUGCAGAGGCCAAGGUGAUGGGAGAGUUGGCCACAUGUGAGAAUAAGCCCAUGCCCUCUGGAGGGAACUCUACUUUGAGUGAUAACACUUCUUAAAAUGGUUAAGUCAUCAUUAAGACAAAAACCAAAUACACUUCUGAUUUCAUUCACCCUGUGCACCCGUGGUCACCCCAGCCAAGGGAGACUUGGUGAUGCAGGGGAUUGAGAAGCAGCCACUGUCUCGAUGCUCCCAGCAUGGUGGGGGCACCAGGAGUGUGAGUUGGAGGGGGGAAGGAGAGGGCAGGACCACUGGGGCAGGCUGGGAGGGCUUCACGGAGGAGGUGCUGCUUGGGUGAGGCCUAAAGGUCAGUAGGAAUUACCUGUAUGCAGGAGAGGAUGGAAGGGAGUAGGAGGACACUGUAGUCCAAAGGCCCGAGGGGUGAACCUGCAAGUCCCAUUUGGACAACUGAGCUCAGCUUGGGGAGCUCGGCCCUUAGGAGCCUCCGGUACAGCACACGAAACCAGUCAGCCACAAAACCAGGAGGUGGUUGUUAAGUUUCUUCUACCCAUGCAGGUAAAGUUGAGAGAACCGUGAACUGGUUUCCUGCGGAGAGGAUCCUGGAGCACAGUCCAUGGCUGGGAGCCUCCAGACCUCGGGUGCGAAAGGUAGUGAUGGGAGAAGGGAGGACACCCCAGGCAGAGGACACGACCUGGACACAGAAGUGGAGACUGGAUUGGGAGUAGAGGAGUGAGGCUGCCUGGUGCCUCAGAGCUGGAGGAAGAAUGACAACUGAGCCUGGACACCUGGGCUGGGGCAGGACACCUGGGACACUGGGAAGAGCCUGGGGCACUGGGAAGAGCCUGAGGCACCAGGCUGAGGCACCUGGGGCUGGCGGGCAGGAGGGCGCGUACGGGGGGAGCCACGGAGGCCUUUGGAUACUCUAGCACUGUGUGGAGGAUGGCGGAGAAAGGCUCGCACAGGCCCCCUGAGCCCGGCAUGGGGAUCCUGGGUAAUAACCACACCUACCCACCUACCCAAUGGGUACAGACCUUUUAUCUCAUUGGAUUCACC